rnacentral:lncRNA from 1 species
AUGUUAUUUUACAUUAUAAAAAUUAUAUUAAAAAUAGAUAAUAAUAAUUUGAAGAUAUUUUGAUAUGAAAAUAGGUUAAGUAAUGACUAGUAAUUCUUUUACUAAGUAAUUCCGAUCAAAUUUUUUAAGCAAUGUAUUUUGUAUAAAUAGUGUUGUGCGCAGCACAGUACAUUCUAUUGAAAAGGUGUUAUCUACUUUGGAAUAGAAAGUGUUGGGCGCCACACUGAACCUUAAAAUACAGAAUAUACAUGAAAUUUAUAAAAAAUUUCAAGCACAGGAAAUUAUGCAAAUUCCAUAUAAUUAAAAAUAUUUCCAAGUUGAAAUAAUUGCCUGUUUAAAGAAAAUUGUUAUCCAAAAUUAUGCAAUUUUCAGACUUCAACCUACAUAUUGUUGAAAUUGUUAAAUUAUGGAGUCAAAUUUCAUAGAAAGCAUUUAUUAUUAUAAUAUAAUAAGCCUUAUGCAUGAAAACAACAUGAUAUAGUGCCUUAACCUACUUAGUAAUAACAAGUUUUAUAUCCAUGUUAUCAGAAGUAAUUCAUAUAUAUACAGAUGCAUGUAUACAUGUCAAAUACAUUGUAAUUCUUGAAUUUGUACAAAACAAAUAAUAAUAAGCAAUUUGUAUCCAGAAAUCAAUUUACAAGACCUAAACUCACAAUCAAGACAUUAUUACAGCAAAUGGCUAGAUACCAAACACCAAAUUGAUAUCAAUCAAAUUGAAAUCUUAU